rnacentral:misc_RNA from 1 species
UCAUCGUCAUCUCAUUCAUAGCCACUAGCACAGUAUAUAGUAUAAAGUAUUUUUACUACAAAAACGUUAUUACGUAGGUCAAAAUUUUUGACGUAAGAGAACUGUCAAAACAUUAGAUUGUGACUUUUCAUUAUUGCCGUGUUUAUAAUAAACAUAGGUUAUACAUAUAUAGGUUUAUACAACAAUGCCACUAGCAUGAAGUUCAUUGUUCAUAAUUUUAUGUUUAUUUGAAUUUAUUAGCUAUGGAAUUUCAUAUUAAAAUCAAGGAAGAAUCUGUUGAAUAUGACCAAACACCUGUACAGAAUCAGCUAUCCACAUCAACAGAUCUUGGAGUCUUAAAGAAUGAACCAGAUAAUGACUCCGCUGUGGCAGUAAAAACCGACAUUAAGGAGGAGCUCCUUGAAGGUGACUUAAGAUCUAUAGAGAGUCAGCUAACUACAUCCAUAGAUCUUGAAGACUUAAAGAAUGAAUCAGGUGAAUAUAACUCAGGUUUUACUCAGGAAGAGAAUGAAACGAAAAUUAUGGAGACUUUUUUUGAACAUUCAUCUCAUAAAGGAGACUGUAUGAAUUACGCUGAGGCAAAAACCGUAAAUAAAAAUAUAGAAGUUCAGAAUAAACAGGGACAUUACAAUUGUGAAAUUUGUUUCAAGAGGUUUUCUCGCUCAUCUCAUUUGAAAAGACAUUUGAUGGUUCACAAGGGAGAAAAACCUCACAAGUGUGAAAUUUGUUUCAAAGAGUUUUCUCGAUCAUUUGUUUUGAAACAACAUAUAAGAAUACACACCAAAGAAAAUCUUUCUAAGUGUGAUAUUUGUUUUAAACAAUUUACUCAAAGAAAUCAAUUGAAACGGCAUAUGAGAUUGCACACUGGAGAAAAACCUCAUAAGUGUGAAAUUUGUUUCAAACAGUUUUCUCAAUCAUCUGACUUGAAAAGACAUUUGAUUGUUCACACGGGAGAAAAACCUCACAAGUGUGAAAUUUGUUUUAAACAGUUUACUCGGAGAAAUAAAUUGAAACGGCAUAUGGGAUUGCACACUGGGGAAACUCCGUACAAGUGUGAAAUUUGUUUUAAGCCAUGUUCCCAGCCAAGUCAUUUGGAGCAACACAUGAAAGUUCACACUGGAGAGAAAUCUCACAAGUGUGAAAUUUGUUUUAAGCAGUUUACCCAAGCAAGUAGUUUAAAAAAACAUUUGAGUUUACACACUGGAGAAAAACCUCACAAGUGUGAAAUUUGCUGUAGGCGAUUUAACCAAGCACAUGAUUUGAAAAAACAUUUGAACGUGCACACUGGAGAAAAACCUCACAAGUGUGAAAUUUGUUUUAAGCAGUUUAGUGAAGCUGGAAAUUUGAAAAAUCAUUUGAGAGUGCACACUGGAGAAAAACCUUACAAGUGUGAAAUUUGUUUUAAUCAGUUUAGUGAAGCAGGUACUUUAAAAAAACAUUUGAGAGUGCACACUGGAGUAAAACCUUACAAGUGUGAAAUUUGUUUUAAGCGGUUUAUCCAAACAAGUAAUUUAAAAACACAUUUGGGAGUACACAGUGGAGAAAAACCUCACAAGUGUGAAAUUUGUUGCAGGCGGUUUUACCAAGCAAAUGAUUUGAAAAAACAUUUGAAAGUGCACACUGGAGAAAAACCUCACAAGUGUGAAAUUUGUUUUAAGCAGUUUAGUGAAGCGGGAAAUUUGAAAACACAUAUGAGAGUGCACACUGGAGAAAAACCUCAUAAGUGUAAAAUUUGUCUAAAGCAGUUUUCUUAUCCACUCCGACUGAAAAGACAUAUGAUACAACACCCUGGAUGUAAACCGUACAAUUAAACAGUAGAACAAUGAUAAACAAUGGUUCUAUAAGACGUUAAACUAAUAAUUUGUAAUGCUAAUGGCCUACUGCGGCAUACAGAAACCCUGCAGUUAUACUUAGAUAAAAAAAAAUAGACAUUUGAUGGGUCUAACUGCAAAACUCACAUUCUCCACUUUUUCAAAUUUUACAGGAACUAAAAAAACUUAUAAAAUUUAAAAAAUUACCUAUUUUUCAUGUUAUUUCUUUUUUGUAAAUAGUGUAACAUAAGCAAUAUUUUUAAUAGCUUAUAAAAUGUUUAACUAGCCUAAUAAGGCAGAAAUUUCACAUUAAAUGUUGGAUAAUGUGAGUUUUGUUUAUUAUCGUUUUUCGUAUUUUUGUUUCCUUGAUUUCUCUUUGUUGAAAUUAUUAAUUGGAGUUACAUUUACUUCCAUUUUAUAAAAGACUUAUUUAAAAAUAUAAAAUUACAUUAAGGUAUUAAUUAAUUAUAAAUUACUAACUAAAAUAUCAAAAGCAACUCACUACUGCACAGCUUGUAUAAUAUUCAACCGCACAAUGUUUUAAACACUUAGGUCACGUGACCUAAAUGCGUGCCUCUGAUUGGACUGCAGGGAGGAAAAUGUGAGUUUUGAAAAUGACCCAGGUUUUUGUACUUGAUUUUAUAUGGGAUAUUGUUAGUUUUGGUUAUAAUCCUAUAUUACAAAUUAUGUAGUUCAAUAUGUAUAGUCCUGUCGCCAGGGGGGUACAACGGCCUCCUGUAUUCAGAUGGACUUACCAAAGUUUUUUUAUGUAUUUUGACACGUAGAACACGAAUUUUUUGGGUAACAGUUGAUCCGGAUGUCGAUAAGAUUGUUAUAAACUAAGAAGCAGUGGUGGCUCGUGGCUUUAGGGACAGAGUCGGCAAGGUUUUGUCUCCAAAGGCUUCAAUUUCAUAGGAGAUCUUUGGUUUUUGUUUUUGUUUUAUUUUUUUUUUUUUUUUGUUUUUUUCCUAUAAAUUUAGAAACUAUACCUGUUUAUAAAUUAACUCUAGUCUACGUUGUUUCGAAGUAGCAAAAUGGGUUAUAACGUAAUUGUAAAAUUUAUUAUUGUUUUGGAGGGAUUUUAAAAGUUUUUUUCUAUCGACAUUUGAGACAAGUUUGACAUUCUCUCCUGUUUCAUGGUGUUUCGACAAUACGUUUUGACUCUUUUGAGACAAGAGAAAUCCCGUUCAUUUGAGACAGAAUUUGCCCACAUUUGAGCACAAUAAUUUAUUAAUUUCGGUAACAGUUUGUUGUACAUAAUUAAAUGCAGUAUAUAAAAUUAUACAUAGUCUGUAACUUACUUAUCCCACCUUCCGAAAAUAUUUGGAUCAGAAUAUAAAACUGUUAAUCCAUUUUCUUAAUUUAUUUGAUUAAAAAAUGAUGGAUAAUUUUUAAUGAACUUGUCUAAUAGAUAUUUUGAAAAUUCUUUGGCGUAACUUUUAAAUUUUGAAUAGUCAAAGAGGUCAAUGACAUAACUGUAAGUAAAUAAUAGUUUUGCCUGGUGCAAUUGUUUUAACGUUUGUCGGGAGACCAUACAAUUCACUGGACAUCAAGACAGCCCCGUCAUAAAUUUGCCUUACCAAUUUAUUUUUGAUAUCAAAAAAUUUUAAUCUGUCCUUUAAAUUAAAACACCAAAAAUAUAUUCUGUCUUAUGGCUUCUACUCACGUCUGAAAACCUAACAACCUCUCAUAAAUAUUAGACGUAACGCAUAUCGAAGAACAAUUAUUGAUACUUGUGAAUGACAUGUUACCUCUAUCAGUAGUUUCGUCUACUUCUACCGAAAAGGAUCAAAAUGUAACUACUAAUUGAUUCUUUCAUUCUGUGCUGUUUUAGGUACGCCGCUAUAUUCUUCGAGUCAGAAAAUAAAUUAGAAAACUCCAGAUCGUAUUUGUUAAACAGUUUUAUUUGUUCUCUAUAAUUAACUUGAUUUAACGAAUGCUCCGAUACAUCCUGUCCGGUACAUCCCAUGGUAAUUCCUAACAACUUAAAAGAAUUACAAUAUCAAUAAUAAUUAAACGACGUAAAACUACUUACCUAUGUAUUUCAUAAUUUUAUCCCGGGCCCGCUAGCAAGGCAAUACGCUACGUACGUGCCUUUCUGCCGUUUGCAGAUCACCGCUCGGCAGAGGUACCCGCUGCCGCACUUGCCAUUCAAAUAAAUACGGGGAAUGUAUAAUUGGUUGCCUAUCGGCUAAUAUUCCAUAGCUCCUUAUUAUAAGCAAAUCUUCGAUCUGGGGACGGCAUGCCGAUGCCGAGCCGGGCUUUAUAAUAAGAAUUCACACAAUCGCAAUCGGGUGCGGGUCUGCGGGUGCAUGGCUAUAGGAUCAUUAAUUUGAAAAAUCUCUUACGCACAGGGAUCACUUAACUAACGUAUCGGGAUCGAAUUCUUUUAAAAACAAUGAAUAAAAUUUAGUCUGUAUUAUCUCACAGAUAUAUUUUUUAUUUCACAGAAACGAAUAUCAUCAACUCCGAUUAAAUCAAAUAUUUAAAAAAUCUAUAAUGUGUCCAUAAAUGUGUGGGUCGGCACUGCCGACCCUGACGAGACGCCACUGCUAAGAAGUUGAGGAAUUACAUAACAGCGAUUUCUCGCAAAACAAAACAUUUUUUUGUAUUUUUUGGGCCAUUCUAACCAAAAAAUGUUCCUACAAAAUUUUUCGUUGGAUGCAUAGUUUUCGAGAUAAACGCGGUUGAACUUUAAAAAAAUCGAAAAAUUGCAAUUUUUGGACCCGAAUAACUUUUGAUUAAAAAAUAAAAUAGCAAUUCUGCUUACCGCAUUUGAAAGUUCAAGUCAAAUUAUAUCGGUUUUAAUUAUUUGCAUUGCUAAAAAUUUAUUAUUUUAUUGUUAAAAAAAAGCUGAUAUAAACACCUAGUGCUUGAGUGAUGUUUUCAAUGAUUUCUCAUUUAAAAUCGAACGAGUAGUUAGAGCAGGUACAAGUGCAAGCGAGGCUAUUUCUACGUAGCAUGAAUUAAAACGCAUGUAUUAGGCACGGGAAACACUAUGUGUUUAUAGCUUUUUUUAACAAUAAAACAAUAAAUUUUUAGCAAUGCAAAUAUUCAAAACCUAUAUAAUUUGACUUAAACUUUCA